rnacentral:lncRNA from 1 species
AAACACCAGUCUUUAGGGGUACCCAAUCUCCUCUGAUCUGUCCCUUUGAGGAAACACAUCCGUUUGAGCAAACUCACACAUCAUCUGUCAAAGAUAUUGGGAUUCGGAUGGACCGAUUCGAACAAAGACAAGAACGGCUUGAACUUCGACAAGAUCAAAUCCUAACUGAGCUGCAGCAAAUUCAUCGACAAUUUGACUCUUUAUUUAGGCACUUUAACCUUCCACCUCAUGAAUGAACUUGUAUGAACACAAUCAUCCUUUGUUGUUAUAAACUCCUCAUGGACUUUGUCUUUGAUAUGGCAUGUUGAAAACUCCUUAUGUUACUCAUCAUGAAGGACUUUGUCUUUGAUAUGGUUACCUGAUAUGUUGUAAACUCCAUAUGUUACUCUUUACCUUGAUCUGUAAGCAUAUGCAAAGUUACAAACAUCUCUUGUUGUUUAUCUCGGAUUUUACAUUGAAACUAAAUGUUUUGAAAACCUUAUGCCUUGAUAAAUAUAAAGUGACAUACCAAUGUAUUUGAUAAGUCAGCAAUAUGACAUUGAUAUGAAACAUCAACUAGCUGAUAUCUUUACAAAACCUCUAAGUG